GAAUGCGUCUCGGUCAAAGCUCAUCCUUGUGGUGUGGCUGGACUGGCGUUUCCUAUCUUCCGAUAGUGGGGUCAAACUCGCUUCGGAUCGUUUACUUUGAAAAAAUUAGAGUGUUCAAAGCAGGCGUUUCGCUUUCAUACUCCAGCAUGGAAUAAUAAAACAGGACUUUGGUCGUGUUUUGUUGGUUUUAAGGACCGAAGUA
rnacentral:rRNA from 1 species